UACGGAGGGUGCGAGCGUUGUCCGGAAUCAUUGGGCGUAAAGGGCGCGUAGGUGGCGGCUUAAGCGUGCGGUGAAAGCUCGGGGCUCAACCCCGAGUCGGCCGUGCGAACUGAGUCGCUUGAGCACUGUAGAGGCAGGCGGAAUUCCGGGUGUAGCGGUGGAAUGCGUAGAGAUCCGGAAGAACACCGGUGGCGAAGGCGGCCUGCUGGGCAGUAGCUGACACUGAGGCGCGACAGCGUGGGAGCAAACAGG
rnacentral:rRNA from 1 species